UGGGGAAUAUUGCACAAUGGACGGAAGUUUGAUGCAGCGACGCCGCGUGGAGGGUGUAGGCCUUCGGGUUGUGAACUCCUUUUUCUCGCGAAAAAGGCACAGUUUUGGCUGUGUUGUUGGUAGUGGGGGAAGAAGCGCCGGCUAACUACGUGCCCGCAGCCGCGGUAAUACGUAGGGCGCGAGCGUUGUCCGGAUUUAUUGGGCGUAAAGGGCUCGUAGGUGGUUCGUCGCGUCUGUCGUGAAAGCCAGCAGCUUAACUGUUGGUCUGCGGUGGGUACGGGCGGGCUUGAGUGCGGUAGGGGUGUCUGGAAUUCGUGGUGUAGCGGUGGAAUGCGCAGAUAUCAGAAGGAACACCGAUGGCGAAGGCAGGUCACUGGGCCGUUACUGACACUGAGGAGCGAAAGCGUGGGGAGCGAACAGG
rnacentral:rRNA from 1 species